rnacentral:rRNA from 1 species
GUGGGGAAUCUUCCGCAAUGGACGAAAGUCUGACGGAGCGACGCCGCGUGAGUGAAGAAGGCCUUCGGGUCGUAAAGCUCUGUCAUCAGGGACGAACGGCCGGUGGAGUGGAAAGCCACCGGAUUGACGGUACCUGAGAAGGAAGCCACGGCUAACUACGUGCCAGCAGCCGCGGUAAUACGUAGGUGGCAAGCGUUGUCCGGAAUUAUUGGGCGUAAAGCGCGCGCAGGUGGGAUCUUAAGUCCAUUUUUAAAGUUCGGAGCUCAACUCCGUGAUGGGAUGGAAACUGGGAUUCUUGAGUACCGGAGAGGAAAGCGGAAUUCCCCGUGUAGCGGUGAAAUGCGUAGAUAUGGGGAGGAACACCAGUGGCGAAGGCGGCUUUCUGGACGGUGUCUGACACUGAGGCGCGAAAGCCAGGGGAGCGAACGGGAUUAGAAACCCCAGUAGUCC